rnacentral:rRNA from 1 species
AGAGUUUGAUCCUGGCUCAGAUUGAACGCUGGCGGCAGGCCUAACACAUGCAAGUCGAGCGGAUGAAGAGAGCUUGCUCUCUGAUUCAGCGGCGGACGGGUGAGUAAUGCCUAGGAAUCUGCCUGGUAGUGGGGGGACAACGUCUCGAAAGGGACGCUAAUACCGCAUACGUCCUACGGGAGAAAGCAAGGGACCUUCGGGCCUUGCGCUAUCAGAUGAGCCUAGGUCGGAUUAGCUAGUUGGUGAGGUAAUGGCUCACCAAGGCGACGAUCCGUAACUGGUCUGAGAGGAUGAUCAGUCACACUGGAACUGAGACACGGUCCAGACUCCUACGGGAGGCAGCAGUGGGGAAUAUUGGACAAUGGGCGAAAGCCUGAUCCAGCCAUGCCGCGUGUGUGAAGAAGGUCUUCGGAUUGUAAAGCACUUUAAGUUGGGAGGAAGGGCAGUAAGCGAAUACCUUGCUGUUUUGACGUUACCGACAGAAUAAGCACCGGCUAACUCUGUGCCAGCAGCCGCGGUAAUACAGAGGGUGCAAGCGUUAAUCGGAAUUACUGGGCGUAAAGCGCGCGUAGGUGGUUUGUUAAGUUGAAUGUGAAAUCCCCGGGCUCAACCUGGGAACUGCAUCCAAAACUGGCAAGCUAGAGUAGGGCAGAGGGUGGUGGAAUUUCCUGUGUAGCGGUGAAAUGCGUAGAUAUAGGAAGGAACACCAGUGGCGAAGGCGACCACCUGGGCUCAUACUGACACUGAGGUGCGAAAGCGUGGGGAGCAAACAGGAUUAGAUACCCNNGUAGUCC